rnacentral:rRNA from 1 species
GAACGGGACUCUUCGGAGUUUAGUGGCGGACGGGUGAGUAACGCGUGAGAAUCUGCCCUUAGGUUGGGGACAACAGUUGGAAACGACUGCUAAUACCCAAUGUGCCGAGAGGUGAAAGGUUAACUGCCUGGGGAUGAGCUCGCGUCUGAUUAGCUAGUUGGAGUGGUAACGGCACACCAAGGCGACGAUCAGUAGCUGGUCUGAGAGGAUGAUCAGCCACACUGGGACUGAGACACGGCCCAGACUCCUACGGGAGGCAGCAGUGGGGAAUUUUCCGCAAUGGGCGAAAGCCUGACGGAGCAAGACCGCGUGAGGGAGGAAGGCCUAUUGGUUGUAAACCUCUUUUGAUAGGGAAGAACACAAUGACGGUACCUAUCGAAUCAGCAUCGGCUAACUCCGCGCCAGCAGCCGCGGUAAUACGGAGGAUGCAAGCGUUAUCCGGAUUUAUUGGGCGUAAAGCGUCCGUAGGUGGCAAACCAAGUCAGUUGUUAAAGCGUAGAGCUUAACUCUAUAAGGGCAAUUGAAACUGGUUAGCUAGAGUGCGAUAGGGGCAAGGGGAAUUCCCAGUGUAGCGGUGAAAUGCGUAGAUAUUGGGAAGAACAUCGGUGGCGAAGGCGCCUUGCUGGGUCUGCACUGACACUGAGGGACGAAAGCUAGGGGAGCGAAAGGGAUUAGAUACCCCUGUAGUCCUAGCCGUAAACGAUGGAUACUAGGCGUUGUCCGUAUCGACCCGAGCCGUGCCGA